rfam:Rhizopogon vesiculosus strain AM-OR11-056 contig30755, whole genome shotgun sequence.
GGCGUUAUAGUGUAGUGGUUAUCACUCGGGAUUUUGAUGUUAUAUUCUUUCCCGAAACCCAGGUUCGAACCCUGGUAUCGCCU